rnacentral:rRNA from 1 species
AGAGUUUGAUCCUGGCUCAGGAUGAACGCUGGCGGCGUGCUUAACACAUGCAAGUCGAACGAAGCACUUCAAUCGAUUUCUUCGGAAUGAAGUUUUAGUGACUGAGUGGCGGACGGGUGAGUAACGCGUGGGUAACCUGCCUCACACAGGGGGAUAACAGUUAGAAAUGACUGCUAAUACCGCAUAAGACCACAGCACCGCAUGGUGCGGGGGUAAAAACUCCGGUGGUAUGAGAUGGACCCGCGUCUGAUUAGCUAGUUGGUAAGGUAACGGCUUACCAAGGCGACGAUCAGUAGCCGACCUGAGAGGGUGACCGGCCACAUUGGGACUGAGACACGGCCCAAACUCCUACGGGAGGCAGUAGUGGGGAAUAUUGCACAAUGGGGGAAACCCUGAUGCAGCGACGCCGCGUGAGCGAAGAAGUAUUUCGGUAUGUAAAGCUCUAUCAGCAGGGAAGAAGAAAUGACGGUACCUGACUAAGAAGCACCGGCUAAAUACGUGCCAGCAGCCGCGGUAAUACGUAUGGUGCAAGCGUUAUCCGGAUUUACUGGGUGUAAAGGGAGCGCAGGCGGAAGGCUAAGUCUGAUGUGAAAGCCCGGGGCUCAACCCCGGUACUGCAUCGGAAACUGGUCAUCUAGAGUGUCGGAGGGGUAAGUGGAAUUCCUAGUGUAGCGGUGAAAUGCGUAGAUAUUAGGAGGAACACCAGUGGCGAAGGCGGCUUACUGGACGAUAACUGACGCUGAGGCUCGAAAGCGUGGGGAGCAAACAGGAUUAGAUACCCUGGUAGUCCACGCCGUAAACGAUGA